UGGUUAUGAUCUUCAAUUUCC
rnacentral:piRNA from 1 species